rnacentral:rRNA from 1 species
CAGCAGCCGCGGUAAUACAGAGGGUGCAAGCGUUAAUCGGAAUUACUGGGCGUAAAGCGCGCGUAGGUGGUUUGUUAAGUUGGAUGUGAAAUCCCCGGGAUCAACCUGGGAACUGCAUCCAAAACUGGCAAGCUAGAGUAUGGUAGAGGGUGGUGGAAUUUCCUGUGUAGCGGUGAAAUGCGUAGAUAUAGGAAGGAACACCAGUGGCGAAGGCGACCACCUGGACUGAUACUGACACUGAGGUGCGAAAGCGUGGGGAGCAAACAGGAUUAGAUACCCCAGUAGUCCCUGUCUCUUAUAC